ACCGGGUGCCGGGCAAGGAGGCGUCCCUGCCUUGAGAGGCUCCGUCUUGCCCCCUCACGGUCCCCCUCUCUCCGCCACAGGUCUGAUUUCGGCAGAGCUCUCGAGGCGACAGCACGGGCGGGGCCAGGCCCGGGCCCCGUGUCCAUGUCGCACCCCCCCCCCCCAGCACCGUGCAGAAGCGGGAACCGGGAAGGGACGCAUUAACCGGUGCGACCCCACAAUUAAAGCUGCGGCUGUUUACCACGGUGAGAACAGCUCUGCCUGCCAACGCCAGCCGCCAUCACAUCUCCCUACUGCCGGCUCCCCCCAAGUGUUUAUUUAAGCCAACACAUUGCUCUGCUAAUUGGAUAACAUUCCACGUGAAAAUAGACCUUUUAAAACAACAGCAGCGGCGGCAAAUAAAAACAGCCACAACUGCAAAAGCUGGCCUUCCUUUCCUCCUGCAGGACCAGCCUGCUCUGCGCAAAGCGGGAGGUGGGGGCAGCUGCUAAACAGAAGCCCGGUGGCUACCGGUGGCCUCUCUGGGGCCAGGCUGCUUCGGGCUCGGGAGGGCUGGACUCGUGUGCUCAUGGGCCCAAUGCCGGGGCGCUCACUCUUCUGGGCGCGCCCCCAAGAGAUGUUCCGGCCCCUCCCCCUGAAAUGGCUCUAAUUGAGUCCCGGGAGGACAAGACGUGACAAACGCAAACGCCCAGCAGCCAAAGACAGGCUUCUAGAAGUUGACGGUUUUGAUCACCGCCAAGAUGCUGCCCUUCCGGAAACAUCAGGGCCCAGAGAGACACGGGGGCACCUGAGACAGGGAGACAGCCGUGCACAUAAGUGCAGACCCAGGCCACCCGGGGAAGACCACUGCAUUUGGGAUGGCUUGCGUCCUUGACUUCCACUCUUCCCUCAUCAGCCUCUGUCCUGCCCCCCUCCACCUCGAGGGAGUAGGUUCUUUGGAAGACAUCGCCUCACCACCCCGAGUUUUAGGGAACACGGGCACUUUCAGAGGGCCUAGGACUCCGAGGGCUGACAAACGACCUAGGAAGGGGGAACGUGCCAGCUCACCGAGGCCGUGAUGAGGGUAGACGGGUCUCCUCCAGCUUAGCGCCUUGGCCCCGGGGGCCAGCGCCAGGCUUUGCGGGGAUCGGUCCACGGGGCUCUGCAGUGGCUGCACAGACAGAGCUCGGCGGCCGUGCGGAGACCGGGAGGGACUCAUGCAAAUCUCCUGCCCGAUUCCCGGGGCCGCUGCAGGAUGGGAUGAGACAGUGCGCGUGUGGUGUAUGUACCACGUAAAAGCCGGUGCGGUCGGUCGCAGGGGCCUCUGACUAUUGUCAUCAGUUGCCUGGUUACCCUGAGCUCUGCCACGACAGCCUCUGCGGAGCCUCGUGCUAGGAUUCUCUUCACGGUUUGGGGGUGUGCGCUUGCCCCAGAGGGUCCUGACGGAUGACAAAGUCCCUGAUGAUGCACGGGCGGGGUGGAAGGCAGUGUCGUGGAGGAAGGUCGGAGGACUCAGGGUGCAGGGUGCAGGGACGGCGCAGAUGGGCAGGCUGCCGAGGGGCUGCCUCGAGGGGCGGACCGGGGCUAAUUCUCACCUCGGCCAGCUGGUGAAGGGGGCUGGCUGAUGCCGGGGAAGGAGCACGGUCCUGGGAGCCAACGUAUCUGGGUCCCGGCCCCCGGCCAGACACUAUCAGUUUCUCCACUGCUUCCCAGACUCAACACGGAACGCCCAGCUAUCCGUUACCCUCUCCCUUCUCCCUUCUCCCCUGGUACCAACCCCCCCAUUUCACCCUCCCCUCCCCUCCUCCUUUCCUCCCAUCUGAGCACGGCCCGGGGCCCCCAGGAGAGGCUCUGAUGCCAGGUUCCCGCGUGGCCGAUGCCAAGAGUGACGCCUUCCAUCCCCACGGAGGGUGUCCUGCCGGGCACUGGGAGUGAACCCCCUCGCGAGGGGUGCAGGUGGGUCAGGCAGGGAUCAGUCAAGCUCCGGAAAGGCUUCUGAAGGAGGAGGACUCCUCCUUCCCCGAGUGCUUCCGAAAGAGGACGGCCACUUAGGGGGAG